UCCGUUUGCGGCUCCAUUCUUGAGCUCUGUGUUGUGGCUAAGAAUGACUAACUUCAGGGUUUCAUUCAGUGGAAAAGAGUUUACACUCUUCCAGUGGCUUCUACAAAAGUUCCCAAGAUUCACUCUGAUUCGACUGGCUUAGGAUGUGUGCCUGUCCUUUAACAAUCAUUAUAGUCAGGUGGGGGACUGAGAACGGGCUCCACUCCUGGAGAAUGAAGACAGGACAGAUCCUCAAACAAAGAUCAGAGGUCUUACUAAACCAAGGGGAACAUAUGCUGAGUAUUCAAGCCACAGAUGGAUGUCCAGCACAGGUCAAAAUGGGUUGUAAAGCAGCAGAGACAACUCGCAACAUCAACAACGCAUUUGGCCCAGGAACUGCUGAUGAACGUACAGUGCAGUGGUUCAAGAAGUUUUGCAAAGGAGAUGAGAGCCUUGAAGAUGAGGAGCACAGUGGCCGGCCAUCUGAAAUUGACAACCAACUGAGAGCAUCAUCAAAGCUGAUCCUCUUAGAACGUGAGAAGUCGCCAAAUGACUCAAUAUUGACCAUUUUACCGUCAUUUGGAAUUUGAAGCAAACUGGAAAGGUGAAAAAGUUCAAUAAGUGGGUACUUGUGAGCUGACCACAAAUCAAAAAAAUCAUUGUUCUGAAGUAUCAUCUUCUCUCAUUCUGCACAACAAUGAAACAUUUCUUGAUGGGAUUAUGAAGUCUGAUGAGAAGUGGACUGUAUACAACAACUGGCAACUGCCAGCUCAGUGGCUGGACCAAGAUGACACUCCAAAGCACUUCCCAAAGCCGAAGUUGCACCAAAAAAAGGUCAAGGUCACUGUUUGGUGGUCCGCUGCCAGUCUGAUCCACUACAGCAUUCUGAACCCCAGUGAAACCAUUAUAUUUGAGACAUAUGCUCAAAAAAUUAAUCAGAUAUACCAAAAACUGCAAUGCCUGCAGCUGCUAUUGGUCAACAGAAAGGGCCCAAUUCUUCUCCAUGACCACGCAUGGCUGCAGGUACACAACCAACACUUCAAAAGUUGAAACAACUGGGCUACAAAGUUUUGCUUCAUCCACUAUAUUCACCUGACCUCCUGCCAACCAACUACCACUUCUUCAAGCAUCUCAACACCUUUCUGCAGGAAAAAAGCUUCCCCAACCUGUAGGAUGCAGACAAUGCUUUCCAAAAGUUCAUCGAAUCCCAAAGCACAGAUUUUUACAUUACAGGAAUAAACUUAUUUCUCAUUGGCAAAAAUUGUAAUAGUUCCUAUUUUGAUUAAUAAAGGUGUAUAUGAGCCUA